GUAUUAGAUUUUAAAGGCACAGAAAGCCUAUAACUAACAUUCUAUAACUUGUUAUGGAGUGUAUGUGUAUAACAUAGACCUGAAAUGCAAGAACAGCUGAGUUUUAUACUGCAGUUCUCAAAUCGAGUUUCCUCGAAAAAGUUCAUACCAGGCCUACAGUGUGUGCACAGGUGGUUUUAAAAAAAAAAAUGGAGUGAGCGUGCACAUGCUCCUGAGAGCCAGCAACAACCCAACCAAGUUUAUUCAAUAAUGAUCCUUCCGCAGGUUCACCUACGGAAA
rnacentral:misc_RNA from 1 species